GUGCAUGUGAGUGUAGGUGCCAGCACAGGCCAGAGGCGUCAGAUCUUCUGAAGCAGGAGUUACAGUCAGCUGUAAGCUUCCUAACAAGGGCGCUGGGAAUCAAACCCAGGACCUCUAGAAGAGCUAUCAGCAUUAAUGAUCAUAUUGUGCCUCUGUGUGUGCGCACUCGCAUGCACACAUGCAUACUCCUGCAUGUACCAGAGCAGACCAGAGCAGACCAGGGGACAACGGUAUCCUUCCUCAGGUGUUGUUCUUCAGGCACUGUCUACAUUAUUGUUUUCUGUUUGUUUGGUUUGUUUUUCCAAGACCGGGUUUCUUAGUGUAGCCCUGACUAUUCCUAUUCCGGAACUCACUCUGUAGACUGUAGACCAGGCUGGCCUUGAACUGACAGAGCUCCACCUGCCUCCCAAGUGUUGGGUUUAAAGGAGUAGGCUACUACCCAGCUUACUGUCCUGGAAAGGUUAGGGUGUCUGGCCAGGGAAUCCCAGCAAUUCUCCUGUUCCACUUCCCUAGCAGGGGAAUUAUAAGCAUGUACCACCACGUCUGCUUGCACUCAUCACCCAUUCUCUCAAUCUGUACGUGUGUGUGUGUUGUAUGGGUCUAUAGGUAUGAGUGUAUGCAUGUCAGUGAAGGCCAGAGGUUGCUAUCAUGUAUCUUCCUUGAUUGUUUGCCAUCUUUUUUUUUUUUUUGUUCCUUGAGACAGAGUCUCUCACAGAACCUGGUAUUCAUCAAUUCAACUGGGUUGACUAGCCUGUGAGCCCCAGAGAUCCACUGUCCCUGGAGUUACAGACUCUCUGCCACAAUCCUUGUGUUUGUCAGACAAGCACUGGGUUGUGAUUAGUUUGAAUCGUUCCGUUGACCCAAUCUAGACUCACCUGGGAAGAGAGUCUCCACAGGAGAGUGUCGAGAUUAUGUUGGCCAUUGCACAAGGUAUGACUACAUUAGUUGAUGUGCGGAAACCCAGGCCACCUUGAGCAGCACCAUUCCCAAGGCUUGAGCCCUGGACUACAUGUGAGUGGAGAAGGUAAGUUAGCUAGCAGACAUGCACAUAUUCCUUCUCUCUUUUCUCUUGCCUGUGAAUGUGACUAGAGCCUUAAGUUCUUGGUGACUUGAUUUUCCCAGAGUGAUGGACCAUAAUCUGGAAUGAUAAUAAAAUGAACCCUUCGUCCCUUAAA